rnacentral:rRNA from 1 species
UGUAACUGGGUGCCAGGGGCGGGGGUAUGACGGGGGGGGGGGGGGUUGGUCGGAAUUAUUGGGCGUAAAGUGCGCGUAGGCGGCCGAUCAAGUCGGGGGUGAAAUCCCUCGGCUCAACUGAGGAAUUGCCUUCGAUACUGUUCGGCUUGAGUCCUGGAGAGGGUAGCGGAAUUCCCGGUGUAGCGGUGAAAUGCGUAGAGACCGGGAAGAACACCAGUGGCGAAGGCGGCUACCUGGACAGGUACUGACGCUGAAGCGCGAAAGCUAGGGGAGCAAACAGGAUUAGAUACCCGUGUAGUC